AACGAACGCUGGCGGCAUGCCUAACACAUGCAAGUCGAACGAGACCUUCGGGUCUAGUGGCGCACGGGUGCGUAACGCGUGGGAACCUGCCUUUAGGUUCGGAAUAACUCAGAGAAAUUUGAGCUAAUACCGGAUAAUGUCUUCGGACAAAGAUUUAUCGCCUUUAGAUGGGCCCGCGUUGGAUUAGCUAGUUGGUGGGGUAAAGCCUACCAAGGCGACGAUCCAUAGCUGGUCUGAGAGGAUGAUCAGCCACACUGGGACUGAGACACGGCCCAGACUCCUACGGGAGGCAGCAGUGGGGGAAUAUUGGACAAUGGGCGAAAGCCUGAUCCAGCAAUGCCGCGUGAGUGAUGAAGGCCUUAGGGUUGUAAAAGCUCUUUUACCCGAGAUGAUAGUGACAGUAUCGGGAGAAUAAGCUCCGGCUAACUCCGUGCCAGCAGCCGCGG
rnacentral:rRNA from 1 species